rnacentral:rRNA from 1 species
GACGAACGCUGGCGGCGUGCCUAAUACAUGCAAGUAGAACGCUGAAGCGAGGAGCUUACUCUUCUUGGAUGAGUUGCGAACGGGUGAGUAACGCGUAGGUAACCUGCCUUGUAGCGGGGGAUAACUAUUGGAAACGAUAGCUAAUACCGCAUAACAAUGGAUGACACAUGUCAUUUAUUUGAAAGGGGCAAUUGCUCCACUACAAGAUGGACCUGCGUUGUAUUAGCUAGUAGGUGAGGUAAUGGCUCACCUAGGCGACGAUACAUAGCCGACCUGAGAGGGUGAUCGGCCACACUGGGACUGAGACACGGCCCAGACUCCUACGGGAGGCAGCAGUAGGGAAUCGUCGGCAAUGGGGGCAACCCUGACCGAGCAACGCCGCGGGAGUGAAGAAGGUUUUCGGAUCGUAAAGCUCUGUUGUAAGUCAAGAACGGGUGUGAGAGUGGAAAGUUCACACUGUGACGGUAGCUGACCAGAAAGGGACGGCUAACUACGUG